UUGAUGUAUGUGUUUGUUACACCUUGAUGGAAUAAUAAAUAAAGAUGGCCGCAUGCAUCGAUUGAUGCAGAAACUGAGGGGUUUUAACCUCCUUGUCAAUCAAGCAUCGACUGAUCAUAUGUGCUUGUUAGACCUCAAUGGAAUAAUAAAUAAAGAUGCCCGCAUGCAUCGAUUGAUGCAGAGGCCGAGAGGUUUUAACCUCCUUGUCAAUCAAGCAUCGAUUGACCAACACCGGUGGAUCCGAUCACCGGUUGCACCGACGCAAUGGAUUCACGCCGGACCGACUCCGUCUUCGGCCGGGCAUAUGGAUUCAUGCCGGAUAGACUCGGUUCAGGAGGAGCAUCUAACAUAUAAACCCCGCUAGGGUACCCGCCUAGCGAGAGCACUUGCGAGCGCUAAUGCUUCUGGCCCGUUCGAUCUUUUCACUGUAGUGCGAUUUUACUUGGUGGCAUUUAGUCAACCGUUGGUUGUUUUGCACAUUUGCAGCAGCUCCACGAGAGAAUGACUGGUGGGACUGGUUAAAUGUAGGGUCCAUGCAAUCAGGUGGGUUUGCGUGUGAUUCUACGUACCAGAAAUAUGCAACCAGCGAGGUGUGCGGUGAAAACCUAGCCAAUCCUUUCCGUUCUCAAGCCCCGCACCCCCUCCUCCCUCGAGCCACCAGUCCCUCCGUCCUCGAGCCCCGCGUUCCCUCCUCCAAUGCUCUCCACCACCACCGCGCCUCUUCUUCUCCCUCGCCCCUCUCCUCCCCCGCUCUCGAAAUCCCAAGGCAUGGUCGCUGCCACCUCUCAUAUCUCUCUUCCCGCAGGACAACACCCCCACGUUCUUUCUUCUCUGCUGGGAGUUGUUGUUCCAGAUCCGGCGCAGGUCGCCGCCAUGUGAGAGCAGGGGGAUAUGGUGUUCAUGAUGGGCAUGGAGGAGCACAGCAGGACGACGAUGGGGCGAGGGAGCAGCGCAGCCAGGGCUCGAGUUGUUGUUCCAGAUCUGGCGAGGGAGCAGCGCAGCCAGGGCUCGAGUUGUUGUUCCAGAUCCGGCGCAGGUCACCGCCAUGUGAGAGCAGGGGGAUAUGGUGUUCAUGAUGGGCAUGGAGGAGCACAGCAGGACGACGAUGGGGGGAGGGAGCAGCGCAGCCAGGGCUCUAGGCGGUGCUUGCGUCACGCUGGCCAUCACUUCCCACAUCGUCACCAAUCUAGAUCUGAGAUAGAAAAGAAGAACAAGGUGAAUCCUCUUUCUCACACAGCCAUGUUUGUCCCCACAUUUUAGUUUUGAUCUUAUGGUUUACUGUAUCCAUAUGUUUGUAUUCAACUUCCUUGAACAGUCUAUUUCUUGCACUAGAAUCAUCCUAUGGGGAUUCCAAUUUCUCAAUUUAUGGUUUUCCAUAUUUUAGACAGAACAGAAGAGAAAGAAUAUUGUGGAAGAGUUUGAUAAAGAAAAAGGAACUUUUCUAAGGUUUCGCAUGCUCCGUCUACAUCACAAGUGGUCUUCCGAUUGUGUCGAGUGCAUCACAAAGGCGCAGGCCAAAAUCUGACAAGAUGCAAAGGCACAUAUCGAGUAUGUACCACAGUCAAAGGGAUUCAGUUCAGUUAUUAAGAUUUCAUUGCAUCUGAAUUACUUAUCAUAUGGUUUUUAAUGAGUUGGAGGAGGCCUUGGUUCUACCAUUUGAAAAAAAAUCUCUAGGUGUGGGCAUACGUCA